CUCAGCCUCCGGAGCAGCUGGGAUUACAGGCGCCCGCCAUCACGCCCAGGUUCUCCUUCUCUCCUCUAUCCUGCCACUUUGUGAAGAAGGUGCUUGCUUCUCCUUCACCUUCCACCAUGAUUAAAAAUAGAAUAUAAAAACUUCUCUACUCCUGACUCACCAACGCACCAGAACAACUUUUAGUCCUGCAAUCAUGACCAUCCUUCCUUCUCUAAUAUUCUGACCACAUGUAUCAGUAUUCAGAAAAAAGCAAGAGCUUCUUCUCGCAGGCGGGAUUGCCAUUGAAGAGGAUGUCAAGAAAGAUGAGUCACUGUUAGGAUUGAUUCAUGAUACUUUAUUGCCAAGCUGCAUUUGCUGAUAGAGUCAUCUAUAUCCUGGUAUCCAUGGAACACAGUGGAAGGGAAAUCUGUCCUUGUCAUUACCUGGCCACAGGCCUCUUUUAAAAGAUACUAGAAAAUUAAUUAGACUGCAAAUUCACCCAUAAAAUUAAAGUAAAAGCUACCUGGGCUCAGGGCUCUGAAAGAGGAUAACUUAUUUGGAUUAGAAAAUUUGUCAUGUUGAGCUCAAGUAGCAUUAAUUUGUUUAGAAGAGAUAAUGAUAUUUCAUUAUUAUUCCCAACCCUGAAGUUAGUCAAGAAAUAACUAAAAUAAAUACCUUGUAAAUACUGACUACACAUAAUACUUAUACUCUAUAGCAACAUGGCCACACUCAGUAAUCUUGACAAGUUUAGGAAAGCAUUUAAAUAAAAUAAAACUUGAGCCAGAUAAACUCUGGAAGAUCUUUAAAAUUAAAUAUAAUAGUUACUGGGUAAAGCGAAUGGAAAACUAGAUCAGAAAUAGAAAUUGUGCCUUACUCUUAUAAUUUCAACCAUGACAAUAUAAAUAAAUAGUAUGCUGUUAAAAAAUAAUUUGACCAUUGGGAGCAUUUAAGAUUUCUACAUGCUUUACCUAUUUUACAGAGAGAAUAAAUUUUUAAAGAAGGC
rnacentral:lncRNA from 1 species